rnacentral:rRNA from 1 species
GACGAACGCUUGCGGCGUGCCUAAGAAAUGCAAGUCGAACGGACAGUGGCUUCGGUUACUGUUAGUGGCGAACGGUCGCGUAACACGUAAGAAACCUGCCUUGAAGCGGGGGAUAACAGUCCGAAAGGAUUGCUAAUACCGCAUGUGGCCAGUCGAGGGCAUCCUCGAUUGUCUAAAGAUUUAUCACUUCAAGAUGGUCUUGCGGCCUAUCAGCUAGUUGGUGAGGUAACGGCUUACCAAGGCGACGACGGGUAGCUGGUCUGAGAGGACGAUCAGCCGGAUUGGGACUGAGAUACGGCCCAGACUCCUACGGGGGGCAGCAAUUAGGAAUCUUGCACAAUGGGCGAAAGCCUGAUGCAGCGACGCCGCGUGAAGGAUGAAGGUUCUCGGAUUGUAAAAUUCUUUCACCGGGGACGAUAAUGACGGUACCCGGAGAAGAAGCCCCGGCUAACUUCGUGCCAGCAGCCGCCGUAACAC